CCUAUUAAUGCCUUCACCUCAAGAUCAUUUUCUUCUGGUUUUAAUAUAGCCAAUAUUGAUCGGCUUCAACUUGGUGGAGAGUAAAUAUGGAAAUCCCUCAUUAUCUGCCUUUAGACGUAUAUCUUCUAGACAAUAUCUGACAUAUUUGGCAGAACCCUUAACUUUCCAGUCAUGUUCAGUUGUUAAGGAUUCAUUCCAAUCUAAUCUAAAACUCUAAUUUCACAUGUAAUUGAAAUCUCAUUUCAUUCUUUUCUCCUAGCUGCAUACCAUUGACCCAUUCUGAGUCUCUCAACCACAAGCCUAACAUUUCCUCCAUUUAAGCAAUUUCUCCUGCAAAAUAGUGUUGUAGAAUUUUAUAUUAAAGGAAAAUUAAAAUUAAAAUAUUAUAUUUUUAUAUAGAAAGGGAUAACAAAUAUGAGAGAGAAGGUAGGAAGAAGAGAAGGUAAACAAAAAAAUUAUAUCAAAAUUGCUAUUAAUUCUGAUCCUCAAACAAUUUCACCUUAAAAUAUCUAGGGAUCAUAAUACCAGAAGGAGAAAAAAAGAAGGGGAUAGAUGAAAUAUUUGAGAAAGCAAUGGCUUAAAUUUUUCCAAAAUUUAUGAUGGACACCAAACUUCAGAUACAGGAAACUCCGAGGAUACCAAGAAGGACAAAUACCAAAAAGCUUAUACCUAGACACAUCAUAUUGAAAGUUCCGAAAAGUCAAGACCAAAAAAUAAAUAAAUAAAUAAUAAAAUUAGAAAAAAGAAUUGAAAGAAGCCAGAAAGAAAACACAUUACCUACAGAAGAAUGAGAAAUACAUCAGACAUCUCUUCAAAAAACAUGCAAGCAAGAAGAGAGUGGAGUGAAAUUUUUAAAGUAUUGAAAGUAAAAGAAAGCCCACCAACCUAUAAUUUGAUAUCCAAUAAAAUUGUUUUUCAAACAUGAAGGAGAAAUAAAGACUUUCUCAGACAAACAAAAAUUGAGGAAACUUGUCACUAGUAGAGAUGCACUGAAAAUAAUGUUAAAAGUUCUUCAAAGGAAACGGACUAUGUGACAUUCUGAAAAAGAAUCUUAGAGACAUUGUAGACACAUUGAAGACUUCUUUUAAACAGCAUUCACGUAUGAAUCCUUGCAUUUGGAACCUUGCUGUGCUGAUAUGAUUCAAAAGGGCAAAUGCAGAGAAAAUUAUUGAACUGAAGAGCCUAGAGUCAGCACAAUCAUGAAGAUUCUGGUUAAGUCUGAAGUGGAUUCACUCACCCAAGGCAAGGCAACUUUAUCUGUCCUAUACAUAUGAAGCUAUAGGCAUGAGGCUGGAUUUUCUUCACAUACUUCAACUAAAGCAAAAUAUCGCAGAUCGAAUGCCGGAGAAGAAUAUGAGAAUAUAUUUUGCUUCUACUAGACAUUAAAAAGAUUUACAAAGAUGAAAACGCCAUGAGAUAUCAUCUAACCCCAGUAAAUAUGGCUAUUAUCAAAAAGGCAAAAAAUAACAAAUGCUGAUGAGAAUGUGGAAAAAAAGGAAAUGCUAAUACACUGUUGGUGGGAAUGUAAAUUGGUAUAGCCACUAUGGAAAACAGUAUGAAGUUUCCUGAAAAAAUUAAAAAUAGAAAUUACUAUAUGAUUUGGGUAUAUAUGCAAAAGAAAGGAAAUAAGUAUAACAAAGAGAUAUAUGCACUCUCAUGUUAAUUGCAGCACUAUUCAUAAUAGGCAAGAUGUGAAAUCAACCUAAGUGUCCACUAAUUAAUAAAUGGAUAAAGAAAAUAAGAUAUAUAUACACAAUGGAAUAUUAGCCAUAAAAAAGAAUGAAAUUCUGUCAUUUGCAACAACGUAAGUGAAACUAGAAUACAUUCUGUUAAGUGAAUAAGUUACGCAUAGAAAGAUAAAUAUGGCAUAUUCUCACUCAUAUAUGGGAGCUAAAAAAGUUGAUCUCAUAGAAGUAAAGAGUAGAAUAAUGGUUGCUAGAGUCUGGGCUGAAUGGGAAGGGAAUGGGGGAAUGAAGAAAGCUUGGUUAUUGGCUCCAAAAAUAUAGAUAGAAGGAGUAAGUUAUAAUGUUUGAUGUUUGAUAGGACAAUAGUUAGCGAUAAUUUAUUGUAUAUUUCAAAGUAAGUAGAAGAGCAUAUUUGUAAUGUUCCCAACACAAAGAAAUGAUAAAUGUUUGAGGUUACUGAUUUUGAUCAUUGCACACUUUAUGCAUAUAUCAAAAUAUUACAUAUACCCUAUAAAUAUGUACAAUUAUGUAUCCAUUAAAAAUAUUUACAAAAAAAAUUUGCAAAAGUGUAAAAUGCUG
rnacentral:lncRNA from 10 species